CGCCAAUUGGAGGCCUUCGCUCUGAUCUUCUUAGUUGAGAAAGAAAACAUAAUUCCACCUUGAACAUCUUUUUCACAAGAGGCAAAACCACAAUGAGAGGAACUAGACUGUGCCUGGAAUGGAUGUUCAACAUAUGUGUAC
rnacentral:lncRNA from 1 species